CGAGCCCGUCAUCCCCAACCUCUCGACCUUAUCCUCCCACCGCGACGCCAGCCCGGCCUUCCACGGUGCCACCCCACCUCGCCCGACCUUCCACUCCAUAGACUGAUUGAACUGACGGGCUUGAUCCCCUUCGUUCGUGCCGCCGGGGAUCGCCCACUACGCCUCCGCCCCCGUUCGCGCUGCCGGGGCUCGCCCACUACGCCAGCGCGAUGUAGUUCGCGGCGUGGCCGCAGCACUUGCGCUUCCACCUCUCCGCACCUCGGCGCCCAGCGCUGUUCGUCAAUGUACAGUAGCGCUACGAGGUGACGCCCCGCCCCUCCUACACCACCCACGGGGGGCGCUGCAGCUCUACGGGUAUCCUCCGGUACCUAUCGGCCAGGUAGGCAGCCCGUGUUGGGAUUGCCAGGCCCGGCCGGCGGAGCGGCCGUUUCCGUGCGGCCACGUCUUCCUCUGCCGCCCGUGCUACAAGCGCCGCAUCUCGUGUCCGUGCUGCGCCGGCUGGGUUUCCUCGCCUUUCUGAAGAUUGAUUGACCUGACGGGCUUGAUCCCCUACGACAAUAGUAGCUUCACCAUGUUGUGCUUUCCCAGCGCGCCUACCACUGCGACACCACCCAGGCCGUUCACACCUGCCACCGCAGUCGGUUUACCACUGCCAACCAAGGCCGUUCAACGAGGGGUCGUUCAACAACGCAGUGAUCUGAGGGAAGAAGACAAAACUAAAUGAUUCAGUUCAUCAUUGGCAUCCUUGUGAAUCCUUGUGAACAGUUCUGAAGAUAGCUUUCAGAGACUAAUUACAGUGAUAUUUCUCUCAAUCUUUUUCUACAAAAUAGCCUUUUCAUGUGUGUGAGAGAAGUGAGGAGAGCAAUGGACAGUAGUAUAUGCAAAUCAACCUUGUUCCCAGCUUUCAGAGACUGAUGCAUGAUGCAGCAGAGAUGGCAUAUAUGUUUUGUCAUGACAUGGGUACUAGUAAUGCAACAACUUGCAGCUGCAUGCCUCUGAAUGUUCCUAAUGGGAGCCUCCUCAUUCUGUGAAUGUGUGUGUGUGUCAAUAGUAUGGUCCUCCACCAGAUGUUAUGCAGUAUACACCUUUUUAGUUCAAACUUUUAGAAUUUUUUUUGAACUUCUCACAAUUAAUAUACAUGAACUUGAUUAUCUUUUUGACAUGUAGUGAUAUCAGCUUCGUUGGAUUUUCGUGCGUGUGCUUGUAACACAAUCAGUUCACAUGUCGAGAUACCAUAAGUUCAAGUUCACUAGUAUUUAUAAAUGUUGGUUUGCAGUACUAGUAAUAAUAUAGUACUUCAAGAUGCUCUUUCAUUAGGAAUAUUACAUGUGACACGCUUGAAUCCAGAAUCCCACCUUAAUUUCCUAAAGUGUGAAGUCAUGGAGUCCUUAAAAUAAAGCGCUUCAAGCUGGUGUUUAGCCUCUGCUUGAAGAUUGUUCGAGGCGGUAAAUUAUAAAAGGAAUAUUAUUUUUCUGAAAUAUUGUUUGUGUCUACUAUGGGGACGGAAACAUCCCUUGAAUAAGCACCUAACUGUUCUUUGUUCCCGUGCAGGUUGUGGGAACUGAUCAUUGCACCAUCAAUUCCACUCAGAAAGCUUUCGGUUCUGAUGAUUUCAGGAAGAUUCCCAAUGGUGUAAAUGUAACUGAAGAACGGAUGCAUAUAAUUUGGGAUAGCAUGGUGGUAAGUUUUGAUUUCAAAUGUUGUUUUUUGUGAUGGGUACUAAGUUGGUUCUAUUGCCGGUAUUUCUGUUUUCUGACUUCAUUCAAUAUAUGUAUAGGAGACCUGCAAGAUCACUCUCACCGAUUAUGUGAGAGUGACGAGCAUAGAAUGGUCGUGCAGAAAUUCUAUAACUGCAUCAAAACAAAAUCAGAAAAACAAAACAAGAAGCAAAACAAUUUUAAAGUAUAAUGAUGCAUACUACUCUCUAAUCUUUUCAAUGCCAAGAUCUUCAACAUAUACACGCGAAAAGGAGCAAUCCCCGAGGGAUCUGAUGCAGACAUCAUCAUCCUAAACCCCAAGAGGAGCUUCGCAAUGGGCGCGCACACACACCAUUCGAGGUCCGACACAAGCGUGUAUGAGGGCAGAAAAGGAAAGGUGGUUCAACAUGUCGAGCGGUAGCAGCCCUUGCUCCCAAUGGUUGCCCGCGCAAGGAGGAUACAAGGAUGCUACAUUGCUGGAGGAGUAGUAGCAUGUAGUAGCUAGCUGAAGAAAAGGAUCCGCACAACCACCGCCCUGCUCUGGCCAUGCUGCACCACCACUGGCACGUCCACCAUGGUUGCUGGCAGCUGUCCAAGUUGAGCACUGAUGGGAGUCCUUGGCGUGCUUCAACCACACUCUCUCAUAUCAAUCUCUCUCUUUCUUUGCUCCUGCUAUUAAAAUGCGUAGAUGUGCUGCUUUGCUAAUUGAGUAGUUGGGAAGAUGUGAAAAGAACAUGCUCUCUAGGUGUGUGACUAUUCCCGUGAGCACCAAUGUAUUUAAAUGUUUGUUUUGUGCUUCAGCUUAUGUUUUUGGGCAGUACAAAUACAUCUUCAAAAAUAAGUACAGAUGCGGUCUUAUAGAACUCUAAUAGUUGUUGAA